UAAGGAAUAUUGCUCAAUGGGAGAAAUCCUGAAGCAGCAACGCCGCGUGGAGGAUGAAGGGUCUAUGACUUGUAAACUCCUGUAAAGAAGGAAAAAAUUCCCAUUUGAUGGGAGAUGAUGGUACUUCUGGAGUAAGCCCCGGCUAACUACGUGCCAGCAGCCGCGGUAAUACGUAGGGGGCAAGCGUUGUCCGGAUUUACUGGGCGUAAAGGGAGCGUAGGCGGACUUUUAAGUGAGAUGUGAAAUACCCGGGCUCAACCUGGGUGCUGCAUUUCAAACUGGAAGUCGAGAGUGCAGGAGAGGAAAGUGGAAUUCCUAGUGUAGCGGUGAAAUGCGUAGAGAUUAGGAAGAACACCAGUGGCGAAGGCGACUCUCUGGACUGUAACUGACGCUGAGGCUCGAAAGCGUGGGGAGCAAACA
rnacentral:rRNA from 1 species